rnacentral:rRNA from 1 species
UACGUAGGUGGCAAGCGUUUGUCCGGAUUUAUUGGGUUUAAAGGGUGCGUAGGCGGCCCUGUAAGUCAGUGCUGAAAUAUCCCAGCUUAACUGGGAGGGUGGCAUUGAUACUGCGGGGCUAGAGUACAGAUGAGGUAGGCGGAAUUGACGGUGUAGCGGUGAAAUGCUUAGAUAUCGUCAAGAACACCUAUAGCGAAGGCAGCUUACUAGGCUGUAACUGACGCUGAGGCACGAAAAGUGUGGGGAUCAAAACAGG